UCCCUGGUGGCUCAGAGGGUAAAGAAUCUGCCUGCAAUGCAGUAAACCCAGGUUCGAUCCCUGGGUCUGGAA
rnacentral:tRNA from 1 species